rnacentral:lncRNA from 1 species
AUAGUCCUUUAAACUUUUAAUGAUAGUGCAUAUAAGUUAAAACUCACCUUUAAGCACUUGAAAAUAAAAGCCAAAAAUUGAAAUAUGAACCUUUAGCUUCGUCCAAAUGAACCGACUUUCAAUCUUACUAUCUGAAGGUUUACAUUGAACAUGGCCUUUUGCAGCAGGAAACUAAUACAAGUAUCUUUUGAAGGAAAUAACAUCGUUUGAACCCUUCAAAACUGAACUUUUGAAGAAAUACUCUUACUCAUACACUUUAUACUAAAUAGAAGAAGUAUUGAAAAUUAGAGUACUUAUAAUAUUAUACUACUCCUAUUUAAGAAACAAAAACAUUGCAAAUAACAACUUAAGAAAAUAAGAAUUUGAAACAUAGGUAUUGCACUAAUGAAAGCUUCGAGGAAUUCUGCUUCUACCACCCAUUAUUUCCUUCUCUUUCACAUUUCAGUAGUGUUGCUUGUUUGGCUUUAAUAUAAUUCAGCAACAACCAUAACUCUCAACCUGCAAAAAUGCCAUAUUCUCCGUACCGAUCAACGUUCACAAUUUGAUAUGCUUCAGUAGUUAUCUAAUAGCUUUAAGAUAUGUUGUCAUGGAAGAAAAAUUAUGACCUUAAGAAAUAGUGAUGAAGAUGCACAUACACCUUAGACAUUAUCGACUGAUGGUUCACUACAAACACAUUAGCUAGAAUAUGAUUUGAAAGAGAGUAGUACUUGCAGAUGCUGAAAAAUAAUCCUAAACUCAAGCAACAAUCAAGAAAUUUAAACACACAUCACAAGAAAUACGAAAAAUUUUCUUGAAAAAAACUUAGUGGCACAGUGAGUAAAAGCACAACAUCACAACAAUAAAAAGAAAAAAAUUCGGUGAAAUAGUGCAUGUGUAACAGUUGUUCUCGAAUUGGCAAUUCCAGUUUUCUUUAACUUCACCAUACUUUAUCCGAAGAGAUCUUUCCUGUUCAAAAUAAAUUCGAAACAAUAGUCACAAUACCAGCAAAAGAGAUUAAACUAAGAAUGUAAUUCAUCAAUUUUUUGCCUUCAUCACUUGAAACUCCCGGCACCUUCAAAAGCCUGUUUAUUCUCACUUGAGCAUAUCUCAUUAUAGGUUAUAAAAAGAAUUAAGUUUGGUUCUUCCAGAGCACCAUUAUUUGAAACCAACCUAUAAACACUAACAAAGAAAGUAAAGCUAAUCAAUACAAUACAAAUAAACUCUAGGAAAAUACAAAAAGUCUGGAAUCAAUUUGCUCAAAAUUUACAACAUAUGUAAUUAAUUUAAAUAUCUGCAUAAAUACAUAAAAAUAGAAGAAGAAUCAAGCAAUUGAAAUCUAGAGGAGAUUUACGUUAUCCGACGGAGAGAACGAAGGGAGAGAUGGAUAUUUAACUGACGAAAGAAGAGGAAGAAACGGUCGAAGGAGGUGCUGUAACGGAAGAGGAAGUGAAGCGACGUGUGAAGAGCCACAAUUAUUAGGAUUGUUAUUAUAAAAGGUAACUUUAGAAUUUUGAUAGAGCACUUAAAAGGAAAAAUCCGGAAAAAAGGAGAAUGGAGAUAAUUGAGAUUCUUGGGUAAUGAAAGGUGACACGCAGGCAGACUUAUGUCCCUACUUUAUAUUUAUAUAUAGAUAUAGAUGCAUUUUUAGUAUCACGAAUCCGUUUCACUUUAUCAGAAACGCUUAGGUACCUCUUUCAAUGAUUUCUCAGCAGUUACUAAAAGGAAGACUUUAAGGAGAAGGUAAAUAUUAACAAAUUAAAAUAGAGUGAACUAGAGGAAUGGAGGAAAAAUUCAAAAAAAAAAAGGAGAAAAAAGAAAAAUACAAUUGCUGGGCAUAGAGAAGUGCUACAUCACCUUUUCCAUGCCUAGCUUUAUACAUAUAUAUAUAUAUAUAGAGAGAGAGAGAGAGAUG